AGAUAGGCUGGCUGGAUCUUGCGGCCGUUCGGCUGAAUCAGGCCCUUGCCGAACAGCGGAUCGUCGGUCGGCAUCUCUUUCAUCUUGGCGACGACCUUGGCGCCGUCAUGCGGAUUGCCGCCCAUCGCUUCGAGCGCCUUGAAGUAGUGCAUCAGACUGGCAUAGACGCCCGCCUGCACCAUGGUCGGCAUGGCCUUGUUCUUCAUGCGCUCCGAAUAGCGCUUGGAGAAUUCGCGGGUCUGGUCGUUCAAGUCCCAGUAGAAGGUCUCGGUGAAGUUCAGGCCCUGCGCAACAUUCAGGCCGAGCGAAUUGACGUCGCUGAUGAACAUCAACAUACCGGCAAGCUUCUGUCCNNCGCCCUUGACGAUGCCGAAUUCAGCGGCCUGCUUGAUGGAGUUCGUGGUGUCGCCGCCGGCAUUCGCGAGACCGACGAUCUUCGCCUUCGAGGCCUGCG
rnacentral:misc_RNA from 1 species